UACAGAGGGUGCGAGCGUUGUCCGGAAUCACGGGGCGUAAAGGGCGCGUAGGCGGCUUGAUAAGGUUGCGGUGAAAGCCCGGGGCUCAACCCCGGGUCGGCCGUGGCAACUGUCGAGCUGGAGCACUGUAGAGGCAGGUGGAAUUCCGGGUGUAGCGGUGGAAUGCGUAGAGAUCCGGAAGAACACCGGUGGCGAAGGCGGCCUGCUGGGCAGUGGCUGACGCUGAGGCGCGACAGCGUGGGGAGCAAACAGG
rnacentral:rRNA from 1 species